AGGUUUAAAGCGGAAGUUUUCGGAUGGAAGCAAUAAACUUUAGCGGCGGACGGGUGAGUAACGCGUGGGUAACCUGCCUCAUACAGGGGGAUAACAGUUAGAAAUGACUGCUAAAACCGCAUAAGCGCACAUUGUCGAGUGACAGAGUGUGAAAAACUCCGGUGGUAUGAGAUGGACCCGCGUCUGAUUAGCUAGUUGGUGAGGUAACGGCCCACCAAGGCGACGAUCAGUAGCCGGCCUGAGAGGGCGACCGGCCACAUUGGGACUGAGACACGGCCCAAACUCCUACGGGAGGCAGCAGUGGGGAAUAUUGCACAAUGGGGGAAACCCUGAUGCAGCGACGCCGCGUGAGUGAAGAAGUAUUUCGGUAUGUAAAGCUCUAUCAGCAGGGAAGAAGAAAGACGGUACCUGACUAAGAAGCCCCGGCUAACUACGUGCCAGCAGCCGCGGUAAUACGUAGGGGGCAAGCGUUAUCCGGAUUUACUGGGUGUAAAGGGAGCGUAGACGGCUGUGCAAGUCUGAAGUGAAAGCCCAGGGCUCAACCCUGGGACUGCUUUGGAAACUGUGGAGCUAGAGUGCUGGAGAGGUAAGUGGAAUUCCUAGUGUAGCGGUGAAAUGCGUAGAUAUUAGGAGGAACACCAGUGGCGAAGGCGGCUUACUGGACAGUAACUGACGUUGAGGCUCGAAAGCGUGGGGAGCAAACAGGAUUAGAUACCCUGGUAGUCCACGCGGUAAACGAUGAAUACUAGGUGUUGGAGAGCAAAGCUUUUCGGUGCCGUCGCAAACGCAAUAAGUAUUCCACCUGGGGAGUACGUUCGCAAGAAUG
rnacentral:rRNA from 1 species